rnacentral:rRNA from 1 species
AGUGAAUGCUGGCGGUAGGCCUAACACAUGCAAGUCGAACGGCAGCACAGUAAGAGCUUGCUCUUACGGGUGGCGAGUGGCGGACGGGUGAGGAAUACAUCGGAAGCUACUUUUUCGUGGGGGAGAACGUAGGGAAACUUACGCUAAUACCGCAUACGACCUACGGGUGAAAGCAGGGGAUCUUCGGACCUUGCGCGAUUGAAUGAGCCGAUGUCGGAUUAGCUAGUUGGCGGGGUAAAGGCCCACCAAGGCGACGAUCCGUAGCUGGUCUGAGAGGAUGAUCAGCCACACUGGAACUGAGACACGGUCCAGACUCCUACGGGAGGCAGCAGUGGGGAAUAUUGGACAAUGGGCGCAAGCCUGAUCCAGCCAUACCGCGUGGGUGAAGAAGGCCUUCGGGUUGUAAAGCCCUUUUGUUGGGAAAGAAAAGCAGCAGGUUAAUACCCCGCUGUUCUGACGUUACCCAAAGAAUAAGCACCGGCUAACUUCGUG